GCUCUAGAUAGUGGUCCCCCAGAGUUUGAUCCUGGCUCAGGACGAACGCUGGCGGCGUGCCUAAUACAUGCAAGUCGAACGCUUUUUCUUUCACCGGAGCUUGCUCCACCGAAAGAAAAAGAGUGGCGAACGGGUGAGUAACACGUGGGUAACCUGCCCAUCAGAAGGGGAUAACACUUGGAAACAGGUGCUAAUACCGUAUAACACUAUUUUCCGCAUGGAAGAAAGUUGAAAGGCGCUUUUGCGUCACUGAUGGAUGGACCCGCGGUGCAUUAGCUAGUUGGUGAGGUAACGGCUCACCAAGGCAACGAUGCAUAGCCGACCUGAGAGGGUGAUCGGCCACACUGGGACUGAGACACGGCCCAGACUCCUACGGGAGGCAGCAGUAGGGAAUCUUCGGCAAUGGACGAAAGUCUGACCGAGCAACGCCGCGUGAGUGAAGAAGGUUUUCGGAUCGUAAAACUCUGUUGUUAGAGAAGAACAAGGAUGAGAGUAAAACGUUCAUCCCUUGACGGUAUCUAACCAGAAAGCCACGGCUAACUACGUGCCAGCAGCCGCGGUAAUACGUAGGUGGCAAGCGUUGUCCGGAUUUAUUGGGCGUAAAGCGAGCGCAGGCGGUUUCUUAAGUCUGAUGUGAAAGCCCCCGGCUCAACCGGGGAGGGUCAUUGGAAACUGAGACUUGAGUGCAGAAGAGGAGAGUGGAAUUCCAUGUGUAGCGGUGAAAUGCGUAGAUAUAUGGAGGAACACCAGUGGCGAAGCGGCUCUCUGGUCUGUAACUGACGCUGAGGCUCGAAAGCGUGGGGAGCGAACAGGAUUAAUACCCUGAGUCCACGCCGUAAACGAUGAGUGUAAGUGUG
rnacentral:rRNA from 1 species